UGAGUAACACGUAUCCAACCUGCCGUCUACUCUUGGACAGCCUUCUGAAAGGAAGAUUAAUACAAGAUGGCAUCAUGAGUUCACAUGUUCACAUGAUUAAAGGUAUUCCGGUAGACGAUGGGGAUGCGUUCCAUUAGAUAGUAGGCGGGGUAACGGCCCACCUAGUCUUCGAUGGAUAGGGGUUCUGAGAGGAAGGUCCCCCACAUUGGAACUGAGACACGGUCCGA
rnacentral:rRNA from 1 species